ACAGGGAUUGCCUAGUAACGGCGAGUGAAGCGGCAACAGCUCAAAUUUGAAAUCUGGCGUCUUUGGCGUCCGAGUUGUAAUUUGCAGAGGGCGCUUUGGCAUUGGCAGCGGUCCAAGUUCCUUGGAACAGGACGUCACAGAGGGUGAGAAUCCCGUACGUGGUCGCUAGCCUCUACCGUGUAAAGCCCCUUCGACGAGUCGAGUUGUUUGGGAAUGCAGCUCUAAAUGGGAGGUAAAUUUCUUCUAAAGCUAAAUACUGGCCAGAGACCGAUAGCGCACAAGUAGAGUGAUCGAAAGAUGAAAAGCACUUUGGAAAGAGAGUUAAAAAGCACGUGAAAUUGUUGAAAGGGAAGCGCUUGCAGCCAGACUUGCCUGUAGUUGCUCAUCCGGGUUUUUACCCGGUGCACUCUUCUACGGGCAGGCCAGCAUCAGUUUGGGCGGUUAGAUAAAGGUCUCUGACAUGUACCUCCUUUCGGGGAGAACUUAUAGGGGAGACGACAUGUAACCAGCCUGGACUGAGGUCCGCGCAUCUGCUAGGAUGCUGGCGUAAUGGCUGUAAGCGGCCCGUCUUGAAACACGGACCAAGGAGUCUAACAUCUAUGCGAGUGUUUGGGUGUCAAGCCCGAACGCGUAAUGAAAGUGAACGGAGGUGGGAACCUUUCGGGGUGCACCAUCGACCGAUCCUGAUGUCUUYGGAUGGAUUUGAGUAAGAGCAUAGCUGUUGGGACCCGAAAGAUGGUGAACUAUGCUUGAAUAGGGUGAAGCCAGAGGAAACUCUGGUGGAGGCUCGCAGCGGUUCUGACGUGCAAAUCGAUCGUCAAAUUUGGGCAUAGGGGCGAAAGACUAAUCGAACUAUCUAGUAGCUGGUUCCUGCCGAAGUUUCCCUCAGGAUAGCAGUAACGUUUUCAGUUUUAUGAGGUAAAGCGAAUGAUUAGAGGCCUGGGGGUUGAAACAACCUU
rnacentral:rRNA from 1 species